rnacentral:rRNA from 1 species
UACGUAGGUGGCAAGCGUUGUCCGGAAUUAUUGGGCGUAAAGCGCGCGCAGGCGGUCCCUUAAGUCUGAUGUGAAAGCCCACGGCUCAACCGAGGAGGGUCAUUGGAAACUGGGGGACUUGAGUACAGAAGAGGAAAGCGGAAUUCCACGUGUAGCGGUGAAAUGCGUAGAGAUGUGGAGGAACACCAGUGGCGAAGGCGGCGACCUGGGCCAAUAUUGACGCUGAGGUGCGAAAGCGUGGGGAGCAAACAGG